rnacentral:tRNA from 1 species
AUUAUCUUAGCAAAAUAGUGCAUUAAAUUUAGAAUUUAAAUAUAUAUUUAAAAAUAUAGGUAAUA